CAUUCCCCUCCCGCUCCCACUGUCUUUCAAAUGAGUAACAUAACCACACUGAAAGGGGGCAGGGAGAAUUAACCUAGGUAAUUCUCUUUUUCUUUUUUUGAAACAGAGUCUCACUCUGUUACCCAGGCUGGAGUGCAAUGGCGCGAUCUCAGCUCACUGCAAUCUCCUCUGCAUUCUGGGUUCAAGCAGUUCUCCUGCCUCAGCCUUCCAAGUUAUAGGCGCCCGCCACCAUGCCUGGCUGAUUUUUGUAUUUUUAGUACAGAUGGGGUUUCACCAUGUUGGCCAGGCUGGUUUUGAACUCCUGACCUUGUGAUCUGCCCACCUCAGCCACCCAAAGUGCUGGGAUUAUAGGCAUGAGGCACCGUGCCCGGCCGGGUUAGUAAUUCUAACACAACUGUAAUAUAUUCUAAAAUUGAACUUUUCUUUUCCAGUCUUUUUCUGGAGGAAGAGCAAUAAAGUUCGAGGCCACAGAGAUGCUGGUGGGAUGGACGUGGUUCAGGAUCUCAGCUCUGAUCACAACUGCAGCAGCUGCACCCAGAGGACCAGUGCUGGAUCCCCACUCUGAGGAAGGCAAUGGCUGUGCACUUUGGAGCUCAUGUUCGCUGGGGAUCUGCGGGUGGAGCCGGAGAGGACAGAAGAGGCAACCGGUCAUUGUGAUGGUGGCUGACAUGGACACAGGCCAGAAGGUAAGCCUCUCAGCUGGGCUGGGACACAAGUCCCGGGAGAGCCUCUGUUCAAUACAGAAAUUGUGCUGAGAGAAUAUGAAAGUACCUAAGACAUGUUCUCCAUCUCCAAGAGUCAAAGUCAAGUAGGGAAUAAAGACCUAAUGAUUUGAUAACAAAAAUAUAAUGAAAUCUUGACACUUGCACUUUUGGGGAGGAAGGACUAUGUAAGUCUAAAAGUCUUUUCAACCCAAAGACAAGAGAUUCCCGAGGCAGUUUAUGGAGUCAGCAAAUGAAAUCUUGACACUUGCAGCACUUUGGGAGGCCGAGGUGGGUGGAUCAUGAGGUCAGGAGUUCAAGACCAGCCUGGCCAAGAUGAUGAAACCCCAUCUCUACUAAAAUUACAAAAAUUAGCCAGGUGUGGUGGCAGGUGCCCGCAAUCCCAGCUACUAGGGAGGGUGAGGCAGGGAAUUGCUUGAACCCGGGAGGAGGAGGUUGCAGUGAGCCGAGAUCGCACCACCGCACUCCAGCCUGGGCGACAGAGUGAGACUCUGUCUAAAAAAAAAAAAAAAAAAAAAAAAUCUUGACACUUGUACUUUUUGGGAGGAAGGACUAAGAGAGUGGAUACACAUCUGAUUAAUG
rnacentral:lncRNA from 1 species